ensembl:misc_RNA Y_RNA Y RNA
GGCUGGUCCAAAGGGAGUGAAUUAUCUUGAUUGUUCACAGUUAGUUACAGAUGGGACUCCUUGUUCUAUUCUUUCCCCACUUCUCACUAUUGCACUUGACUAGUCUUAA